rnacentral:lncRNA from 1 species
AUAAAGGGAAAACGGACUCACUAGGAGGACCUAGACUCUUUCAGCUUGAACUGUUAACCAAUGGUGGAAAUGCAAGAAUGCUGAAGUUGUUCCUUCGGAGCCAAUAGAGUGGAUUUGUGUGUCCCACAUGACUGUGUUUCCCCUGUCUUUCACAUGGGCAGUAUUUAGUUCAAUUCAGAACUGCAGAUAGUAUAGCGUGCAGAGCAGCAAUGGGAUGUCUGAGCACAAGUGGCUGACUUCCAGGCGACUUCAGGAAGCACAUUUUUACAUUUCUCCUGAAUUAAACUGGGAUUCUGCACUCUUGACAUCCUCCUACCCUCCUUGUCUCUGCAGAAGGAGACAGCGACCUGCACAGCACAACAAAACUAUUGCUUAAAAACAAAUGCAGAAGUUUGCUGCGAGGCAAAUGGAAGUUGGGCACCUUUGCCUUCCAGAGGUGGUAACUCUACCUUUCACUGAGAUUAGCAAAAUCUACAAAGUCUCUCUUCAAAACAAACGAGAGAAGUUUGGAAAACUGCCAGCUCCUUGCACAAAGACUGAAAUGGGAUGGGCAGAGAAGCGUGUUGGUGGCGACAUUUGCGGAUGCUGUCAAGUCAAUGGACUUCUGUUGUAGUGGUUGCUUCAGUGAACAUUCAACGCUGUCGGCCUUAACACCGAAGAUAGCAACCUAAUCACCACAUGAUGUUUCUCCCCCACUCUCUCAAGCUUUACCAAAAAAGGUCACAAUCAACAUUCAUUGCUGUCGGUGGGUUUAACUAUGUGGACAAGCUCACUGAACAAUGAAUGCAACUGUGGCCCCACAUUUUACAGUUGCCAUUGAGAGGAACAUCAGCUCUGAAAGCAGUAGUGAGAAGCAAACACUUCUUAUAGGCUAUAUUUUUAUGGUAAAAAAAAAAAAAAAAAAGUUGGGGAUAGUCACUUUUUGCUUGCUUGUUUGUAAAUGUGUUUAACUUAGCUGACUAGGAAAAAAAACCCACCUCACUGCCUUUUCUGGAAUAUUGUCCUCCCAGGGUCAAGCAUCGUUGAAACGACAGUCAGUAUAUAGGUGGAAAUAAAUAACAACAUGAAGAAAUUUGUGUAUAUUCA